rnacentral:lncRNA from 10 species
CAGAAUACCAAACACACCUUUAUUCAAGUGGAAGUACAAAAGCACAUUCCUAAACCAAACGCAUACAUGUGAUUUUUACAUAUUCUGCUUUUUAGGGAUUACAUAAUCCUGUUUCAGUCACCAUACGUGACUACUGGUCUCUAUACAUAAGGGUAUACAUGUUUGACAGGAAAAAACACAUGCAUUUUUCAUUUGCUUUUACAUUUAGAUCAAUUCAUUUAUAUAUCAAUUUCAUUUAGAUUCCUACCUUGCCUUGAUGAAAUCCUACUCUUGCUGAUGGCAAAGAAGUAAAAUAUAGUGGCAGAACUAUCCUAGAGGUUAGCCAUAGGAGGAUUAUAGAGUGAGCAACAUAUUUUUAUAUAUUUGUUGAGGGUCCCUACUGAAUAUUAUAACACUGAACUAUGAAAGCCUCAAUUGCUGGACUGACAACAAGAAUUUUAAAUAACAUUUGUCUUACUCACAAAAUGUUAUAAAGCUUAAGAUGGAAAAAUACAAAAUGUUUUGACAUUACCUAAAGAAUCAUGAACUCUUGUUAGGUAUAUGAUGGUGGCCCUGAACUUGAGCCAACAUCUGUAAUCACUUUUAUCAGUCAAAAAGCCAUGUUCUUUUAUAUAGCCUGUAGACUAUUAAAAUACAAAAAUGUGGUAAUGGAUAAACAACUAUACACAAAGCCCUCACACUUCAAAUACUGUCCUGGAUUGAUGAGAGAGGAGCAGAAUUCAAACAUUUAUCUGCAAUCCUAAUGGUUAAAAUUUUACCAGGAACAGACCUGCCACUCUCUUGAAAUACUGUCUCUGAGAUUAACAUACGAACAGCAUCAUCUCUGUUGGAAGGCUACAUUCCCUUAUGAUGCUGAUUUGUGUGUGUGUGUGUGUGUGUAUGGUUUUUUGUUUUUGUUUUUUUGUGUUUUUUUGAGAGAGAGUCCUGCUCUGUCGCCCAGGCUGGAGUGCAGUGGUGCAAUCUCGGCUCACUGCAACCUCCGCCUCCCAGGUUCAAGCAGUUCUCCUGCCUCAGCCUCCUGAGUAGCUGGGAUUACAGGCGCGUGCCACCACACCCGGCUAACUUUUGUAUUUUUAGUAGAGACGGGGUUUCACCAUGUUGGCCAGGAUGGUCUCGACUGCCUGACCUCGUGAUCCAUCCGCCUCAGCCUCCCAAAGUGCUGGGAUUACAGGUGUGAGGCUAUUAGGAGUCUUGUUGGCUCCCUGAUGUCCUUAUCAUGUCUUCUUCGCAGACUGUGGAUGCACACAAGACAGCUAAAACCUUGGGCAUCAUUUGAAAAUGUUUGGCUGCCUGCUACAAUCUCAGGAGAGAGAAUCCUUCAUACUUAUAUUGGACUGGAUAUAUUGUCAAUCAAAUUCUUUUUUAAAAAAAGAUGCUUCACUUUAGGAAAUAAGACACCAGACCAGCAACAUCAAGUAGGUAUGGAAUACUUGCUGGUGAAACACUUAAAACUAGGAAACUUCUAAAUCUUCUAAAGGUGCUUAAGAGAAUGGAGAAGUUAAUCAACAGGAAUCCAAGUGUUGUGGCUGUAAAGCAAUACGACAUAAGAUCCCUAGUAAAGAGCAGGCCUAAGAGUUGGUUUUGGAAAGAACUUGGGCCAAGAACAGCAGAAAAAGCUAAAUGAGCUACUUACGUCGAUGUGUUUUAAUACUGGUGCAUUAGCAGUAUCUUAUGGAAGUUGUGAACACUAAGAACCAAUUUCAAAAAAUAUAAAAAUGUUUAUAGGGCAUAUUAAAAUAAAAACAGCUUAAAUGAGUUCUAUAAAUAAAAUAGGCCCAGCACAGUGACACACGCCUGUAACCCCAGCACUUUGGGAGGACAGGUGGGAGGAUCGCUUGAGGCCAGGAGUUCAAGACCAGCCUGGGCAACAAAGCAAGACCCCAUCUCUGUUCUUUUUAAUAUCAAAAUUAUAA